AUAUAGGCAAAAUUAUCGUAAGGUAAUGACGCAAAGCUAUAGGGCCCCGAAAUAGAAGAGGCAGCCAGUUGC
rnacentral:ncRNA from 1 species